GCGCAGCGCAUCGCCGAGGGGAAGGUGCCCAAGCAGCUCGCCGGCGCACGCCUGGUGGAGGUCGACCUCGCGGCCAUGGUGUCAGGGACCAGUUGGCGUGGCAUGUUCGAGGAGCGCAUGAAGAACGUGAUUAACUCCGCCGAGGCGUCCAACGGCAAGAUCAUCCUCUUCAUCGAUGAGAUGCACACGCUCAUCGGCGCCGGCGACUACCAGCGCCGAAACGACGCCGCCAACAUGCUCAAGCCUGCGUUGGCCCGUGGCCGCAUCCGCUGCGUGGGCGCCACCACGUUCGAUGAGUACCGGAAGCACAUCGAGAAGGACCCCGCCCUCGAGCGGAGGUUCCAGAAGGUGCACGUCGACGAGCCGAGCGAGCAGGCCACCAUUGGCAUCCUCCGUGGUCUAAAGCAGCGCUACGAAGAGCACCAUAGUCUGGAAAUUCAGGAUGCUGCAAUUGUUGCCGCUGCACAGCUCGCUGGCCGUUAUGUCACCGGUCGACAAUUUCCUGACAAGGGAAUUGAUCUCAUUGACGAGGCUUGCACAAGCCUAGAGGGGAGUGAAAUGAUUGUUGGUCCGGAUCACAUUGCACAGAAAAAUAUAGCAUAUGACCAAAAAAUAAUGAAAAGUUUCUAUUGUCAACCAAUAGGCUCCUUCUUAUUUGUGGGUCCGACUGGUGUUGGAAAGACAGAGCUUGCAAAAGCUCUCGCCGAGCAGCUAUUCGACGACGAGAAGAUGUUGAUUCGCUUUGACAUGUCUGAAUAUGUUAGCCCCGGAUCUGUCCUGUGUCUCAUUGGAGCACCACCAAGCUAUUAUGGCUACGAAGAAGGUGGGCAACUAACUGAGAAAGUUAGGAGACAGCCAUACAGUGUCAUUCUUUUCGAUGAGGUGGAAAAGGCGCACCACUCGGUAUUGAAUGUUUUGCUCCAGCUGCUUGAUGAUGGCGUAUUGACCGAUGGUAAAGGCCGGAAUGUGGAUUUCAAGAACACAGUCAUCAUUAUGACAUCAAAUGUCGGAGCGGAGCACAUAACACCAAGAAUAGCGGGAGAAAACGUGAAGGGAACUGCACGAGACCUUCUCAUGAAACAAGUUCGGAAAUACUUCAAGCCUGAAUUCCUCAACAGACUGAGCGAGAUUGUGAUAUUUGAGCCGCUUUCGCACCACCAGCUGAAGGAGAUUGUGAAUAUCCAGAUGAAGGACGCCAUUGCUAGAGUAGCCAGCAAGGGCAUCUCUCUAGUUUUAAGGGACGCCGCAUUGGAUGUUAUUUUGUCGGAAUCACAUGACCCAAUGUACGGUGCGAGGCCUAUAAAGAGGUGGGUCGAGAAGAAUGUAAUCACGGUUAUCUGCAAGAUGCUGGUCAGUGGGGAAGCUGAUGAAGGCUCGACGAUCUCAGUUGACGCUGACAACGACAACAAGGGGUUGAAGUACCAAGUUGCGUAGAAGGAAAGCGCAGCAGACUCGGUUUGA
rnacentral:rRNA from 1 species